ensembl:lncRNA
CUAAUCAUGACUUUCAGUUGACUGUCAGUAGCAUAAAAACUUGUGAUUUUAUUAUCAAAGAGAUAUUGCCCAUUAUGUUAACAUAAAAGCAACCAAGAAUAUAUUAUCGAUUACUGGGGUUCAAAAGUUGCUUAUUUACCAACGGAAAAAAGUGAUGCAAAUGUUUUUUAUAGUCUAUUUCUAAACCAUUGUAUUUUUAUGGCAGUCAUCAGUCUUUACCCUUAACUGACAAUGUAGGUUAGGGUUUGAUUAAAAUUCUUAUAAAAAUGGAACGUUACAAAAAAGUCAACUUAUUUGAAUAAGUACAUAAAAAAUGUACCUUACAUUAAUACUGAUUUAAAAAAAUUGACGUUAAGCGGUACAUUAUCCGGCUCCCUCUUGUGGAUAAUAUUAGUAUUACAGCCCUUAUCGUUCACUUGACAAAAGCAUCAGAAGUUAAGGAAAAUUUACAUGUUGCAAGAUAUAUGCAAAAAAAAAAUUAUAUAUUUUUUAUAUAACAUUAUUUCAUGAGGGUCUGAGUAUGAUGUAUGCAAAUUUUUGUUCAAUCUGGACGAGGGACAUUGGGAAUAAGGCUCUGAGAAAUAAAUCAUUAUUAAUAAUUAUUAUUAUUAGUAGUAGUAAUAGUAGCAUUUUAAUAUGAAGAAAAUACAAUUUAUUGAAAAUGUAGUUUCUACUACAUACAAUACAACUGUAUUUCUUGUAAACUGUUUCACAUUGUAAAUAAUUGAUUUCUUAAGUUAAGACAGAUGCAAACAGUAAUAUGUAGCCUAUAGUUCUUUUGCACUACAGAAUAUACAGUUAGUUUGUAGAGCGGGUAUUUAUUUGUUAGUUUUUAAGCCUUCAAAUUCAACAGUACACAUUAUUUUUCUCUGUUUUAUUUUUGUUAUUGUCAUAUUUUCUAUUACAAUUUUUUUUGUACUUUAACAUUGUCUAUUUAAUAACUUUAUAGAAAAUGACUGGCGGUAGGAAACAAAAGGCAGCAAAGGACCUGUGGGCUUUAGCAGGUGGUUUCAGUGUUGUUGUGAAAGAAUUCUCAAAACAGAAUGUAGGACAUACCAUUCCAUAUAACUCUGAGAUCUGGACCAAUCUGUCUCUGUCCAUUUUUGGAAAUGACAUCAAACAAUACAAACAUUGGUUGUGGGUUAUUUGGCAUGACAACCGCAGGGGACUUAAAGACCAAGUGCUGCUAUCAAGGAAACUAAAAAGCCAGCCUCCAGAUCCUGUGUUAAGAUGUUCUGAUACUGAAGAAAAGCUCCAUGGUGACACCAACAUGACAAAAGAAAGGCCUACAGAAAGUGGAACACUUUGCACUUCACAAGACUCAACACACAGUAACAGUCAAAUACAAGUCAGUGAAGAUGAUGUUGAUGAUACAUCAUGGGAGAGUGCUGAUUAUAUUGAAAAACCAUUGUUACAAGAGAUUGACAAUGACAAAACAAACAUCAAGAAUGCUGCUCAAUCUUGUGCUGUCGUUCAGGAAACUGUUGGAACUGCAGUUAAUGAAAGUGAAAUUCUUGAAGAACUAGUCAGCGAAGAAAGUGGCAUACAUACUACUACGAUGGAGUUGAGUGAAAUGGUAACAGAUUUUGCCAAAGAAAGGACAGAUAGUGAACAUGUGUCAGUAACAGUCAAAGAUUCUUUUGACUCAUUGGUUACAGCAACAGAAAAUGCUGAAAAUGACAGUCAACCACAGAGAAAUACAAAGAAGAUUAGAAAGGUUUACUCUGUUCCAAAAACCUUUAAGAUUUCACUCAGCAAAAAGAAAUGGAGAGCAAUAAAACCAAAAAUAGGUUCAGUGCAAUUAAGAAAACCAUGGACUCAUAUCAUAUAUGAGGCAUUCAGCAAAGUGAACCCUAACUGUGUACUUGCCUUCAAGUACCAACAUGUCAGAUUGAUGCACAGCAGGAAAAGGAGUUCUGCUUUUGUAAAUAUUCGUGCAGUUUGCACAUUUCCAACGUGCAAUGCUCAGUACAUCUUUCUGAUGAAGAGAAAACCUUCAAACAUGCAGAGAAAGGUUUUCAUGACUGUUUAUCGUCGUGGACAAAUCUGCCAUUUAAAAGAACACACUCGAAAACGCCAGGCAUCCAAUGUCCGUAGGGGAAAAAUUGCAAAAGUCAUCCAUAAAGGAGUGAGCCAAGUUUACUACAGAAAGCUCCGGAGGACUCCUGUGGAAGAAAUUAUGGCAGGAAAUGUAACGAGGUCUCUUAACAGAGACAUCUUAAAAGUAAUUUCCUCUGAGGUAAAAAAGGCUGCAUCACUACAUGACAAUGUCUUGUUAGAAAUGCAUUUAACACAAAAAAUUAUGAAGGAAUGUGACACCAGUUAUAGACAUUUGCCAGGUUACAUUCAAAACUACCAGGUGGAUCCUUUCAGCUGUCACAUGUACACUGAAAAGGGAAUUUCAAUCUUAGUGACACAUAUGAGGAAAAAGUCACCAGUAACCCUCUAUUUGGAUGCCACUGGUAGUGUCGUGUCUAAAAUACCAGAACAGAAAAAGAGAGUUUUGUACUAUGCCCUUGUUUUGGCAGGUCAGGGCCAUUGCACACCACCUUUGCCCAUUGCUGAAAUGCUGUCAAAUGACCACACUGUGCCAUCUGUUUCUUUCUGGCUGAUGCAGCUUGUGCACAACCUGUCAAAGUUCACUACACUGACAAUCAGGUAUUUGGAAACAGAUUAUAGUUGGGCACUCAUACAAGCUGUUCUACUGGCUUUCAAUAAAGAGAGCAUUCUGUCAUACCUUGACAGAUGUUUUGAUGUUUGCCAGGGCAAGAAUGAUGGGAUGGACAGCAAAAGCUUCACAGUGAUACACAUUUGUUCAGCCCAUGUGCUUAAAGCUGUGGCCCAGGCAAUUUGCAGGCAUGUGACCGACAAGGGACACAGAGAGUUUGUGAUUUUUGUGUUCGCAAGAUUGCAAAAUAGCCAGACUCUAGAUGAAGCAAUUAGGAUCUUUCAGGCUCUUUGCAUUGUCCUUAAUACAAGGACAAAUACUGCUUCUGUACAGGACAGUAUUAAGGCUCUUCAAGAACUCAUUCAGUUCUUCAUCCUUGACAUACCCAUGCCUGAAAACAGAGUCCAGGUGAACACUGCAGAUGACAAGGAUGAGCAGUCUAGAACAAUUGUGGGAAGGUCUCGCUUCUCAACUGUGUUUAGAAGAGCAUUUGAUGAGGCAACCAAAGUAGUCACUGAAGAGGAAGAGUCUUCGGAAGAAAAUCUGUACUACUGUCCAAGCAUCAUUCAAACACUUUUCAACACAUACAUGGCUAUCUUUCCCAUGUGGAGUGGAGUCAUGCUGGGUGACCUAAAAAGACAUGCAGCAGACAAAGACAUAACAUCAAUGGAGGAUGGAGGACAAAGACAAGACAACAAGACACGAGAAACGAAUUGCCAUGUUGAAGGAUGGUUUGCCAUUGUAAAGCAACACAUCCUAAUGAAAGCUCGUAGACUGUGGCCAGGCAACUUUGUACGCAAAAUGUACUCUUCUUUGCGAGGAAGAUACAUUGAGCAUAUAAUGCAGCAUGGCUUUCCUCUAAAACUUCUCCAAAAACCUCUGAAUUUAAAGGAUAUUAAAUUUGCAGAGGAAUCAUGGGCCAAAAAAGAAAAACUGACUGCUUCAAAGAUGGGAGAGUCUAAGUUUUACUCCGUCCCAACAUCAGUACCACAUCCUAAAAGGAAGUCAAGGAAGGCCAAAAGGCAUGUCACAACUACCGUGGAUCAAGCAAGUGAAGAGAUAUUUAAAGUCUCAAACAAUCAAAUGCAAGAUAUCUCAACAAUUUCAGUACCACAAAAGACUGCAAAACAGCAAACUACUACUACAAACCUUGGAGAGGCAUCUGCUCCCAAAAAGAAGCAGCAACGAAAGCCCAAAAAGCAUGACCAUUCAGCACAUGAAAGUGAAACACAAUCCAGAACAUUCAGCUUUGAGAAGGUAGACUUGUCCUCCUUAACCACCAUAAGACCUACUGGACUUAAAACUCACACUCAUAAGAACAAGGAUGUUGCAAAUACUUUGGAGACAACACCACUAAAUGUACAUGAUGAAACAGAACAACUGUGGGGAAAAAAGGAAUGUGAAGUGAUUGUAGCUGUCCAAAAAACGGCACACAAAAAUACUUGGAUGUCUCUGAGACAGUGUGACUUUAUUACAUUGAAGCCUCACAAUCUAUUGAAUGGAGAGACAAUUGAGUACUAUAUUCAUGCUUCUAUGAAUAAAAGUGCAAGCACAAAAAAAAUGUACAUACUAAAUCACUACACGAUCGGGGUAAUCCUGUUUGGAGAACAACAGCAAAUUACCCGCCAAACCUUGAGGAAAGAAAACUUUGAAAAUUAUGAUGGUGCAGUGGGAUUUGUAAUUGUAAAUGGCAAUCACUGGAAGUUUGUGUUCCUUCAUGCCACGUCAGAGAAGAUAUUUGUUGUUGACCCAGCUGAUGUCUCAAAUGACAUGAAAGACUCAAAACUAGCCGCCAGACGUUUUCAACAAUAUUUUAAGACAAGGUUCAAUCUACAUAGCAAAAGGGACUGGUUGAAAAUCAAAUGGAAACCAAGCACCAUUGACCACACAGUGCAACAAGAUGCAACAAGUUGUGGGGUGUUUGUUGCACAGAUGGCAAGAGAGGUGAUUGAAAAAUUUCCAUCAAUUCCACAUGCUUUCAACAUUGAUCCAAAUGAAAAUAGUAUCAAGGAAGUGAGACAACAGAUGGCACACGAUAUUCUUAAUGGAUCAGAAUCCAAGGAGGAGUACUGUUCGUACUGUGGAUGUAAGGAGGCAAAAUCCAACACUCUUUGGGUAUGUAUAUUGAACUAAUAUUUGCUUAAACAUGUACUAAACAUGUACAAUCAACUGUGCAUGUGUUUACUUUUUAAUGGUACAUUUCUGUUUACUUUUGAAGAUACAGUGUGAACAGUGCCAACGAUGGUUCCAUGCAUGCUGCCUUGGACUGUCUCAGGACAAUAUACUUGGAAAGGAUGCCCAGUGGUAUUGCACAAUGUGUGUCUAGUUUAAAAAAAAGUCCACUUAAAUAUUGGUAAUGUGUUACAAUAUGGACAUUUGAAAGGUAACUUAAACUUUGUGAAAAAGUAUGUGUCAUUUUGCACUUUAAGAUUUGAAAAGGUUGUUAUAACGGUGAGAAUGUGAUUUAAUUUUUGAAUAAAAAAAUAAUCUUUUGUGUAUUGUUUUUGUUU